CCCUUAGAUGUUCUGGGCUGCACGCGCGCUACACUGAUGCACUCAACGAGUUUACGACCUUGCCCGAUAGGGUUGGGUAAUCUUUUUAAAAUGCAUCGUGAUGGGGAUAGAUUAUUGCAAUUAUUAAUCUUCAACGAGGAAUUCCUAGUAAGCGCGAGUCAUCAGCUCGUGCUGAUUACGUCCCUGCCCUUUGUACACACCGCCCGUCGCUCCUACCGAUUGAGUGCUCAGGUGAAUAAUUCGGACUGCAGCAAUGUUUGGAUCCCGAACGUUGCAGUGGAAAGUUUAGUGAACCUUAUCACUUAGAGGAAGGAGAAGUCGUAACA
rnacentral:rRNA from 1 species